GAUGAACGCUGGCGGCGUGCCUAAUACAUGCAAGUCGAGCGAACAGACGAGGAGCUUGCUCCUCUGACGUUAGCGGCGGACGGGUGAGUAACACGUGGAUAACCUACCUACAAGACUGGGAUAACUUCGGGAAACCGGAGCUAAUACCGGAUAAUAUAUUGAACCGCAUGGUUCAAUAGUGAAAGACGGUUUUGCUGUCACUUAUAGAUGGAUCCGCGCCGCAUUAGCUAGUUGGUAAGGUAACGGCUUACCAAGGCAACGAUGCGUAGCCGACCUGAGAGGGUGAUCGGCCACACUGGAACUGAGACACGGUCCAGACUCCUACGGGAGGCAGCAGUAGGGAAUCUUCCGCAAUGGGCGAAAGCUUGACGGAGCAACGCCGCGUGAGUGAUGAAGGUCUUCGGAUCGUAAAACUCUGUUAUUAGGGAAGAACAAAUGUGUAAGUAACUAUGCACGUCUUGACGGUACCUAAUCAGAAAACCACGGCUAACUACGU
rnacentral:rRNA from 1 species